GAUAGAACUAAAUGAGGAAGAAAUAAUAAUUAGAAAUCUGAACUUGAAGCAGAUCCACAGGAUGUGAGGCUCUUCAUUUUGAAUCACUGGCAAAAUUACUUGUGCAAAUAAUCAGCCAAUAUUUGGUGAGAAACUGAAUUUUCAAGCAGUGAAAAAUAGUCCCAGAAUCCACAUAUCACAUCAAAGGGUCUUGGGACUCUCCUCCUUGCUUCCUCUGCCACCCACCGUUAACAGUGAUUAGACCACAUGAAUUGGUCUUCCUCCAGUUGUCACCACAGGCUUCUCACAAACUGGGAUGUAUCUGAAGUAAAAUGACCUUCUCAUUUGGAAGAGGACUACCAUUUAAUCCAGGAUCUAUCACUGCAUUAUCCAUAUUUAAUUUGAUUUUGUUUUACCUCAUUCUUAUUUAUAUUUAGUCAUAAAUUUGUGACUCUCUACAAUGGGUAAUAUUUUAUCAUGUUGUUCAUAUUAAUCUAUUUUCUUAUAUUUUGUUAUUCUUAUAAGAUACCAAUUACACUGGAUAUCCUAAUUCAAUUUGUUUCAAUUCCAAAUCCUUCCCUAGCUCUUGAAAACAUAAGCAAGGAGACUCUAAACCUAACAUAUGUAACCAAAUGAUGUUAUGAUUGCCAAAAUGAAUAUAUCAACAUGCUGGAAUUUGGCUACUAUGGCCAAGAUCUUUACUCUCUUUUUAUAACAUAACUUCCUUUUAUGGUUUCAUAUUUCCUUUUCCUUUUUCUUUUUUUCUUAAAUUACCCAAGCAGUUUUUGUUUUGUCAGGAAAAAAAAAAAAAAAAGAUUUAAGUCUUCCUCUAAUUGAGCUUAAGGCUUUGCUACAAAUUUAACAUAUUGCUUUCUAACUAGGAGUAUGCUUGGUUAACUCAAUUUAUAUUUUGUGUAUUAUAGAACAGGUGUUCCCAAGAUUACUGGUACAGAGAGGAAAAUCUCUAUCAAAAAGAUAAAUUACUUAAUUUGUUCUCUUACUUUUUUAGUAGAAUCUUAGUGAAAUUUUCCUAAAACCCAACAUACAAUAUUUGUUUAUCUCUCACUCUUAAAAUGUCUUAAAAUUUUUGACUGCAAGAAAAACUUAUUACAUUUGCAUUAAGCCUAAAUUACCAGUAGAAGUUGCCCUAUUGCGAUACAUGUAUUCUUCAAAAUUACGUACAUUUUACAAUAAAUUUUGUAUUUGAGUUUGCUCAGAGCCUUAAGAUACAGUUUCAGUCAAACCAUAAAUAUCACACUAGAUAAUACCAGGGCAAUGCAAUUUACUGUAUAACUGAGAUCUGGCCAUUGUUUUAUUUAUUUAUUUUUAAUAUUUUUAUUUUUAUUUUUUUAAGAUUUUAUUUAUUUAUUUGAGACAGAGAGAAUGAGAGACAGAGAGCAUGAGAGGGAGGAGGGUCAGAGGGAGAAGCAGACUCCCUUCCGAGCAGGGAGCCCGAUGCGGGACUCGAUCCCGGGACUCCAGGAUCACGACCUGAGCCGAAGGCAGUCGCUUAACCAACUGAGCCACCCAGGUGCCCUGGCCAUUGUUUUAAUAAGGUUAGUCUAGAUAAUACUGAAUUCCCAGUAGCUUGAAACCACUGAGCUUUUUUGAAGACAUGUUACCUUCCUGUUGCAGGUUGGCUCAGGUGAUUAGGAAUUCAGGAACCAGGUAUGAUGGAGAUCCAACAAUGUUGUAGCUACACACUCUUGAAUAUGUAGCUUCCUAUUUGUGGGUCAGAAGAGACAGAUAAAGGAUCACAGGCCUGCUCUUCAACGAUCUAGCUUAAGAGCAAAUGCAUCUCGGGGCAGUUGGUUAAGCUCCCAACUCUUGGUUUCAGCUCAGGUCCUGAUCGCAGGGUCAUGAGAUCAAGCCCCACAUCAGGCUCUGUGCUCAGCACAGAAUCUGCUUGAGAUUCUCUUUCUCUCCCUCUGCCCCUCACCCCCCACACUUGCUCUCUCUCUCAUGUUCUCUCUCUCACUCUCUCUCCUGCUCUCUCAUGUUUUCUCUCUUUAAAAUAAAUAAAUGUAUCUUUUUUAAAAAAGAAACAUGAAUGUAUCUCUUGUGAUCAUAGUCCAUUGGCCAGCACUUGCCACGUGGCCUCAUCUGAGUGCUGGCUGGGCAAUGGGAUGCUGGUCUCUAUGCAGCCCCCUCUCAGUUGCCUUGCUCUCAGGAAAGGUACCUCCUAGGCUUGUACAGUGUCAGGCAUUCUUCUCAACAACAGCCUCAAAAGAAUGACUGCUUGGUGGCGGGGAGAGAAAAAGGUCCCAGCCUCUGACUGAUUCCAACAUCUCUGGAGAACCAUUGCACUCCGCAGCUUCAGAGGGCGGCUGGAGCCAUUGGGCGUCUUCCCUUUCUGCUCACUUGUUCUUUCACCACAGGAGCUGAUCCUGAGAGCAAUUUCCAACAAAUUUUCUGCAAGCAAAUCCUUGACGCAGAGUUGGCUUCUCAGGGAGCUUGACCUGUGGGUCACCACCUACAUUGCAAUCA